rnacentral:rRNA from 1 species
GCUCGGUCUCGAGCCGCUGGGGAUUCGUCCCAGGCGAGCGCCCGCCAGAGUUAAACCAAACUCUUGUUAUUUAACCGGUCGUCUGAGUUAAAAUUUUGAAUAAAUCAAAACUUUCAACAACGGAUCUCUUGGUUCUCGCAUCGAUGAAGAACGCAGCGAAAUGCGAUAAGUAAUGUGAAUUGCAGAAUUCAGUGAAUCAUCGAAUCUUUGAACGCACAUUGCGCCCCUUGGUAUUCCGAGGGGCAUGCCUGUUCGAGCGUCAUUACACCACUCAAGCUAUGCUUGGUAUUGGGCGUCGUCCUUAGUUGGGCGCGCCUUAAAGACCUCGGCGAGGCCACUCCGGCUUUAGGCGUAGUAGAAUUUAUUCGAACGUCUGUCAAAGGAGAGGAACUCUGCCGACUGAAACCUUUAUUUUUCUAGGUUGACCUCGGAUCAGGUAGGGAUACCCGCUGAACUUAAGCA